AACAGGAUUAGAUACCCUGGUAGUCCACGCCGUAAACGAUGUCGACUUGGAGGUUGUUCCCUUGAGGAGUGGCUUCCGGAGCUAACGCGUUAAGUCGACCGCCUGGGGAGUACGGCCGCAAGGUUAAAACUCAAAUGAAUUGACGGGGGCCCGCACAAGCGGUGGAGCAUGUGGUUUAAUUCGAUGCAACGCGAAGAACCUUACCUACUCUUGACAUCCAGAGAACUUAGCAGAGAUGCUUUGGUGCCUUCGGGAACUCUGAGACAGGUGCUGCAUGGCUGUCGUCAGCUCGUGUUGUGAAAUGUUGGGUUAAGUCCCGCAACGAGCGCAACCCUUAUCCUUUGUUGCCAGCGAUUCGGUCGGGAACUCAAAGGAGACUGCCGGUGAUAAACCGGAGGAAGGUGGGGAUGACGUCAAGUCAUCAUGGCCCUUACGAGUAGGGCUACACACGUGCUACAAUGGCGCAUACAAAGAGAAGCGACCUCGCGAGAGCAAGCGGACCUCAUAAAGUGCGUCGUAGUCCGGAUCGGAGUCUGCAACUCGACUCCGUGAAGUCGGAAUCGCUAGUAAUCGUGGAUCAGAAUGCCACGGUGAAUACGUUCCCGGGCCUUGUACACACCGCCCGUCACACCAUGGGAGUUGGAUUCACCCGAAGGCGUUGCGCCAACCC
rnacentral:rRNA from 1 species